AGCGAACGCUGGCGGCAGGCUUAACACAUGCAAGUCGAACGCCCCGCAAGGGGAGUGGCAGCCGGGUGAGUAACACGUGGGAACGUACCCUUUGGUUCGGAAUAACUUGGGUAAACUCAAGCUAAUACCGGAUAAGCUCUUACGGGGAAAGGUUUACUGCCGAAGGAUCGGCCCGCGUCUGAUUAGCUAGUUGGUGAGGUAAUGGCUCACCAAGGCGACGAUCAGUAGCUGGUCUGAGAGGAUGAUCAGCCACACUGGGACUGAGACACGGCCCAGACUCCUACGGGAGGCAGCAGUGGGGAAUAUUGGACAAUGGGGGCAACCCUGAUCCAGCCAUGCCGCGUGAGUGAUGAAGGCCUUAGGGUUGUAAAGCUCUUUUACCCGGGACGAUAAUGACUGUACCGGGAGAAUAAGCCCCGGCUAACUUCGUGCCAGCCGCCGCGGUAA
rnacentral:rRNA from 1 species